GUUUAGUCCGUCCGCCUUAUAUUUACUUUGAUGUCACCUUUGGUAUGGGAGGUAUAGGAAAUGUUUUCUGGCCCGCAGUGAAAUUUUUACCUGCGAAGUUCUUCCCAUCGUCUCUUUGUUCUUCACAAGGAGUCAAUGAUGGAAGGCAAUUUUUGGGCUGCUCAUGGGCCAUUUUGCUUGCUGAGAGUGCUUCUCAGUUUGCUUGCUGAGAGUGUUUCUCAGCCUAUUUGCUCGCUAUUGCAGCGAUGUAUUUAGGAAGGCAGUGUGAAGCUUACUCAGUGAUCGGCUGGGAGAUCAUCUUACUUUAGUUGUAUUUUGUAACACGCCUAUUACCUGUAUCUUUUAUAUUCUUGUAAUGAACGUUUGGUAAUAAAGAACUUUAUUUGAACGUAUUUCGCUCUGUCUUUAUUAUUUUUUGAUCGUCCAGAAUGUUUGGUUAUGUUUUUAUCUGUUCACAUUCCCAUAAAGAAGGAACAUAUUUUUUCAAAUAUUUGCCAUUAAUGAAUCUUACGUGCUUGGUGCCAUCUAAAUCUUCCAAGUGGUAUGCUCCAUUAGGCAAUACAUUGCUUAUUUUGUAUGGUCCUUCCCAGUUGGGCGACCACUUCCCGUAGACUUAGGGCCAUUUAAUUCCGUCUAUUAGACAGAAAUGUGGCUGUUCAUAUUCUGUCUCUUCAUCUUCACCCCCUUAUAAAUGUUUAGCAUUUUUCAUCCUCUAUCUUCAUCUCCUCAUUUUCUUAUUCGAAACCAAUUUGCUGCCAUUUCUUGGCAUUCUGACGAUCAAUCUGAUCCAAAAAUGGACUGUUUAGUCCGUCCGCCUUAUAUUUACUUUGAUGUCACCUUUGGUAUGGGAGGUAUAGGAAAUGUUUUCUGGCCCGCAGCGAAAUUUUUACCUGCGAAGUUCUUCCCAUCGUCUCUUUGUUCUUCACAAGGAGUCAAUGAUGGAAGGCAAUUUUUGGGCUGCUCAUGGGCCAUUUUGCUUGCUGAGAGUGCUUCUCAGUUUGCUUGCUGAGAGUGUUUCUCAGCCUAUUUGCUCGCUAUUGCAGCGAUGUAUUUAGGAAGGCAGUGUGAAGCUUACUCAGUGAUCGGCUGGGAGAUCAUCUUACUUUAGUUGUAUUUUGUAACACGCCUAUUACUUGUAUCUUUUAUAUUCUUGUAAUGAACGUUUGGUAAUAAAGAACUUUAUUUGAACGUAUUUCGCUCUGUCUUUAUUAUUUUUUGAUCGUCCAGAAUGUUUGGUUAUGUUUUUAUCUGUUCGCAUUCCCAUAAAGAAGGAACAUAUUUUUUCAAAUAUUUGCCAUUAAUGAAUCUUACGUGCU
rnacentral:lncRNA from 1 species